rnacentral:rRNA from 1 species
UACGAAGGGAGCUAGCGUUGUUCGGAAUCACUGGGCGUAAAGCGCACGUAGGCGGACGUGUCAGUCAGGGGUGAAAUCCCGGAGCUCAACUUCGGAACUGCCUUUGAUACAGCACGUCUUGAGUCCGGAAGAGGUGGGUGGAAUUUCUAGUGUAGAGGUGAAAUUCGUAGAUAUUAGGAAGAACACCGGUGGCGAAGGCGGCCCACUGGUCCGGUACUGACGCUGAGGUGCGAAAGCGUGGGGAGCAAACAGG